CAGGGCCUCGGGGAGAGCCAGAAACCCCACGUCCGCCGUCGCUGGCAGUUAUCGACCAGCUGCUCAACAAACACCGUAAGCAGAAAACUACAUAUUCUACAAUAUGUAAAGCACCUCAGCAAAUUGGUGAACACCAGUUCCUCUUUAAACGUCAGUCCAGAAAAACUGCAAGAGAGGCAGAAACUCUGUCACUCUCUGACAGAGGCGAGUGAGACCACUAGUGUGCCAGUUGUUACGAUGUCUGUUGCAAUUGUUCACCCACCUCCACCUGUUCAGAUGCUGACUGAAGCCUCUAUUGAGAAGAUUGUACUCUACAUCAUGGAAAAGCAGCAGCAGCAACAUAAACCGCAACAGGAACAACAACAACCGGGGCAAAAGAAGGGACACACGAAAGACAAAGUUCUUUCAGCUAGAACUGGAUGCCACACAGAAAAGGGAGGCAGAGAAAGGACAGCAGAAGAGGAAGAGAACUGAUUGCCAGUCCACAGGUCGCAAGUGUCGGUUCUGUAAGAUGUAACUGAAGCAGGGCCCAAACAGUCGUCACAUUCACACUGGGUUCCCUGGAGUAACAGGGAAGUACAUUUUCUGCAUCUUUUCACUAUACAAAGAUCAGGGCAUGGACAAGGAAAUGACGCGGAGAGAGCUCCAGGGGUGUCCUUUCUUUGAGAAAGAAAAACAGAGAUGUGAGGCUGAAAGGAGGAAAGAA
ensembl:lncRNA